GCCCUGGUAGUGUAGUCCGGUCAAUCAUACUGCCCUCUCGAGGCGGUGACACGGGUUCAAAUCCCGUCCAGGGCA
rnacentral:tRNA from 1 species